GUCCACGCCCUAAACGAUGAUUACUCGAUGUGUGCGAUACACUGUACGCGUCUGAGCGAAAGCAUUAAGUAAUCCACCUGGGGAGUACGGCCGCAAGGCUGAAACUCAAAGGAAUUGACGGGGGCCCGCACAAGCGGAGGAGCAUGUGGUUUAAUUCGAUGAUACGCGAGGAACCUUACCAGGGCUUGAAAGUUAGGGAAGGAUGUAGAAAUAUGUCCGUCAGCAAUGACCCGAAACUAGGUGCUGCAUGGCUGUCGU
rnacentral:rRNA from 1 species